rnacentral:rRNA from 1 species
UACGAAGGGGGCUAGCGUUGUUCGGAAUCACUGGGCGUAAAGCGCACGUAGGCGGAUCUUUAAGUCAGGGGUGAAAUCCCGGGGCUCAACCUCGGAACUGCCUUUGAUACUGGGGAUCUCGAGUCCGGGAGAGGUGAGUGGGAAUUGCGAGUGUAGAGGUGAAAUUCGUAGAUAUUCGUCAAGAACACCAGUGGCGAAGGCGGCUCACUGGCC